rnacentral:rRNA from 1 species
AACGAACGCUGGCGGCAGGCCUAACACAUGCAAGUCGAGCGGACCUUUCGGGGUCAGCGGCGGACGGGUGAGUAACGCGUGGGAAUAUGCCCUUCUCUACGGAAUAGUCCUGGGAAACUGGGGGUAAUACCGUAUACGCCCUUUGGGGGAAAGAUUUAUCGGGGAAGGAUUAGCCCGCGUUGGAUUAGGUAGUUGGUGGGGUAAUGGCUUACCAAGCCGACGAUCCAUAGCUGGUUUGAGAGGAUGAUCAGCCACACUGGGACUGAGACACGGCCCAGACUCCUACGGGAGGCAGCAGUGGGGAAUCUUAGACAAUGGGGGCAACCCUGAUCUAGCCAUGCCGCGUGAGUGAUGAAGGCCUUAGGGUUGUAAAGCUCUUUCAGCUGGGAAGAUAAUGACGGUACCAGCAGAAGAAGCCCCGGCUAACUCCGUG